GGCCUAACAUGCAGUCGAGCGCGCCUUCGGGUGAGCGGCGGACGGGUUAGUAACGCGUGGGAACGUGCCCUUCUCUACGGAAUAGCCUCUGGAAACGGAGAGUAAUACCGUAUACGCCCUUUGGGGGAAAGAUUUAUCGGAGAAGAUCGGCCCGCGUUAGAUUAGGUAGUUGGUGGGGUAACGGCCUACCAAGCCUACGAUCUAUAGCUGGUUUUAGAGGAUGAUCAGCAACACUGGGACUGAGACACGGCCCAUACUCCUACGGGAGGCAGCAGUGGGGAAUCUUAGACAAUGGGGGCAACCCUGAUCUAGCCAUGCCGCGUGAGUGAUGAAGGCCUUAGGGUCGUAAAGCUCUUUCGCCUGUGAUGAUAAUGACAGUAGCAGGCAAAGAAACCCCGGCUAACU
rnacentral:rRNA from 1 species